UACAGAGGUCUCAAGCGUUGUUCGGAUUCAUUGGGCGUAAAGGGUGCGUAGGUGGCGAGGCAAGUCAGAUGUGAAAUCCCGGGGCUCAACCCCGGAACUGCAUUUGAAACUGCCUUGCUCGAGUACUGGAGAGGAGACUGGAAUUUACGGUGUAGCAGUGAAAUGCGUAGAUAUCGUAAGGAAGACCAGUGGCGAAGGCGAGUCUCUGGACAGUUACUGACACUGAGGCACGAAGUCCAGGGUAGCAAACGGG
rnacentral:rRNA from 1 species